GCCCCCAUGGAUGAGGGGGAAGGGCUUCUCAGUGGAGCCAACAGGCGCUUUCCGGGGGCCAGCUUCCCUGGGCAGGGGACCCCGAGUAGGAGUCCCCAAGGAGGGAAGAAAAGGGCAAAGCCUGUUGAGCCUCGGGCGCCGGCAAGAGCCCGGAAUCCGGACACUUGGGUCCCAGAACUCGCCUUGAAGCUAACUUGCUGUCGCUUGCCAUCUCAGAGCCUCAGUUCGCUCACUCCAAAACGAGGGCAGAGUCAUCCCAAGGUAGUGGCGUCACCGUGAGGAGUGAAGGGGGUGAAGUGGCAGAAGCACACGUCACAGACACCAGCACGGGGUAGGCGUCCUGCCGGCCCAGCCCCAAGCUCGCACACACGCGCAGACAGACACACGGAGCAUGUGCAGGAAGGCUCUCCGCGCCCCUCCGCCUCCCUGGAUGGCUAGCUGGCAGGACCUCCUCUUAGGCUAAGCUCCUGGGCUCUUCCUGCCUGGUCCAUGCCUGGACACACAGAGUCACCUCCUCCGCAGACACGGACUCCUCUAUUUCCCAGGCUCCUGGCUGUAAGUGGGUCACGGCUCCCGGCCAGUGAGCUGGGGACAGAGGUGAAAUGGUCACUUCCUGGCCAAAGCGUACAAGAGCUGAUGCCUGACCUUCCGGCUGCCGCCGCAACCAAGAAAGCCUCUUCUGUAAUGGCGGGUCCUCAAGGUCAAAGCUGCACGGAAAGCUGAGUCAGCCCACAAGGGACAGCAGCCCUGAGAGACACCAGGACCCGCAGCAGACUUUGCAUGAGUAAAUGAUAAACUUCUGUUGCAUUCACCCGCUGAGAUUUAGGGGCUGUCGGUCACCACAGCACAGCCUCUCCCAUCCUGCCUAUCUAGCCCUCUCUGAGCACUAUUUCUCUGUCUCUAGUCUGACAGUAACCAUCUGCUCUUCACAGGGUGAUUGUGAGGGUUAAUUGUUGAGAGGCCCACCCUCAGUUCCUGAGCGCCUACUGCGUGCCGGGCCCACUGUGUGGUGCCUGACUGUGAGAUGUCCUGGCUGGGCAGGUGUUAUGAAAUAAAUGUUUCUGUCAAUCCCAAA